GACGAACGCUGGCGGCGUGCUUAACACAUGCCAGUCGUACGGUAAGGCCCUUUCGGGGGUACACGAGUGGCGCACGGGUGAGUAACACGUGAGUAACCUGCCCACAACUUUGGGAUAACGCUAGGAAACUGGUGCUAAUACUGGAUAUGUGCUCCUGCUGCAUGGUGGGGGUUGGAAAGCUCCGGCGGUUGUGGAUGGACUCGCGGCCUAUCAGCUUGUUGGUGGGGUAGUGGCCUACCAAGGCGGCGACGGGUAGCCGGCCUGAGAGGGUGACCGGCCACAUUGGGACUGAGAUACGGCCCAGACUCCUACGGGAGGCAGCAGUGGGGAAUAUUGCACAAUGGGCGCAAGCCUGAUGCAGCAACGCCGCGUGCGGGAUGACGGCCUUCGGGUUGAAAACCGCUUUCAGCAGGGACGAAGCUUUUUGUGACGGUACCUGCAGAAGAAGCACCGGCUAACUACGUG
rnacentral:rRNA from 1 species